UACGUAGGGUGCGAGCGUUAAUCGGAAUUACUGGGCGUAAAGCGUGCGCAGGCGGUAAUGUAAGACAGAUGUGAAAUCCCCGGGCUUAACCUGGGACCUGCAUUUGUGACUGCAUUGCUGGAGUGCGGCAGAGGGGGAUGGAAUUCCGCGUGUAGCAGUGAAAUGCGUAGAUAUGCGGAGGAACACCGAUGGCGAAGGCAAUCCCCUGGGCCUGCACUGACGCUCAUGCACGAAAGCGUGGGGAGCAAACAGGA
rnacentral:rRNA from 1 species